AGGGUUUUGCGUGUAAAAUAUGUAGACAUUUAUGAUUGUUUCGUUAGUGUUUUAUCCUGCUCUCUCUUCUUGAUACAUAUAAUAUAUAAAAAUUAUAAUAUGUAUAAACAGAGAGAAAAUAUAUUAGAAGAUAUACUAUUAAAAAAGAUUUCGGCUAUGAUCUUCUCAUCGCUGCGUCGUUCCUGCGUCGAUCGAGCGAUCUCCUGAGCUUUCUUCUUACACGGAUGCGCAAUGUUGCAGGACUCGCUGCCGAUCGAGGAACAUUCCUCGGCGACCGAGGCCAAUUGUGCUGUCUGUAUCUCAGUUAAAAAAUCUCGUGAACUACAUAUUACCGACUAUAAAAUAACGCUGACGCAAGCGCUGACGUCAUAAGAAUCAUCCGAUUACGGGAGAAUUGAUAACAGAAAUACAUAUUGUAGAAAACUUACUGCGUCAAAUGGAGAAUCUAGAAACAAUUCUUGCAGAAAUCGCCGCGCCGGCAUCCUGUACGUACCGGUGCUUAGACGAGCGGCUACAUCCGAAAACAAACAGGUAUCCUGAAAAAAAGAAAAUGAAUGACACAAAAUGUAUAAAUUAUUUCUGCGUAUUGAGAUAUUGUAGAAAAGCAAAACAUACCUGAAACUUUUCGGGAUACCGCUGUCUCAGUCUAAGUAACGAUUGACGACUAAGACGAUACCAUACAGGAUUUGCAAGCCGUUGUGUAUGCCUAAGUAUUUCUCUAUACAACAUAACAAAAUUGUACAUAAUGAACUUUGUACAGAAAAGUAUUUUAUUCUUUGAUUUAAAUCAAUCAAGAACGCUACAAUUUCUCAAAUUUCUAAUUAAUAAAUUAAUAUAUCAAUCAGCAA